GAUGAACGCUAGCGGCAGGCCUAACACAUGCAAGUCGAGGGAGAGGUUACCUUCGGGUACCCAAAACCGGCGCACGGGUGCGUAACGCGUAUACAAUCUGCCUUUCACAUAGGGAUAGCCCGAAGAAAUUUGGAUUAAUACCUAAUGGUAUAUAAGAGCGGCAUCGUUUUUAUAUUAAAGCUACGGUGGUGAAAGAUGAGUAUGCGUUCUAUUAGCUAGUUGGAGAGGUAACGGCUCCCCAAGGCGACGAUAGAUAGGGGUUCUGAGAGGGAUGUCCCCCACACUGGUACUGAGAUACGGACCAGACUCCUACGGGAGGCAGCAGUGAGGAAUAUUGGACAAUGGUCGGAAGACUGAUCCAGCCAUGCCGCGUGCAGGAUGAAGGUCCUAUGGAUUGUAAACUGCUUUUGGAAGGGAAGAAUAAGGAGUACGUGUACUUUGAUGACGGUACCUUACGAAUAAGCAUCGGCUAACUCCGUG
rnacentral:rRNA from 1 species